rnacentral:rRNA from 1 species
UUUAAUUGAAGAGUUUGAUCAUGGCUCAGAUUGAACGCUGGCGGCAGGCUUAACACAUGCAAGUCGAGCGGAAACGAGAAGUACUUGUACUUCGGCGUCGAGCGGCGGACGGGUGAGUAAUGCUUGGGAAUAUGCCUUUGAGUGGGGGACAACAGUUGGAAACGACUGCUAAUACCGCAUAACGUCUACGGACCAAAGGGGGGGAUCUUCGGACCUCUCGCUCAUUGAUUAGCCCAAGUGAGAUUAGCUAGUUGGUAAGGUAAUGGCUUACCAAGGCGACGAU